rnacentral:rRNA from 1 species
AGGGGGAAAAUUAAUAACUUAAAUUUAAUAAAAGAAAUUUUAAUAUUAAAAAGAAAAAUGGGGGUUUGAGUAUUUUUAAUAGAAAAAAUUAAAAGUUUUAUAGUUAAAUAUUACUGUAAAGGAAUUUAUAAAUAAGUGAAAUAUAAUUAAUGAAAAAGUAAAUUUAAAUUAUUGUAUCUUGUGUAUCAGAGUUUAUUAAAUAAUAAUAAUUUAUUUAAAUAAAUCUCGAAUUUAAAAGAGUUAAUUAAUUAAAAAAGUUAAUGUUGUAUAAUUAUUUUAAAUAAUUAAUUAGAAAUGAAAUGUUAAUCGUUUUUAAAUAUAUCUAGUUUUUUCAGAAAAAAAUUUAAUUUUAAAUUUAAAUAAUUUUAUAAUUAUUUAAUUAAUUAUAAAAAUUUAAAUUUUAAUAUUUUAGGGGAUAAGCUUUAAAUUAAAAAUUUAUAAUUAAAAAUAAUUAAAAUUAAAAUUUUUAAAAUUUAUAUUGUUUAAAAAUUAUAGUUUAUUAUAAAAAAUUUUAUUAAAAAUAAAAUUUAAAAUAAAAAAAUUUAAAUUUUUAUGAAAAAAUAAUUUAUAAUUUAAUAAAAUUAGAAAUAAUGAUAAAAUUAGUAUAAUAUAAUAAAUUAAAAAAAAAAUUAUAGAUAAUUAAGUUAAAGGAAUUCGGCAAAAAUUUAUAUUCACUUGUUUAUCAAAAACAUGUCUUUUUGAUAAUAAUUUAAAGUCUAAUCUGCCCACUGAUAUUAUAUUAAAGGGCUGCAGUAUAUUGACUGUACAAAGGUAGCAUAAUCAUUAGUCUUUUAAUUGAAGACUUGUAUGAAAGAUUUGAUGAAAUAUAAACUGUCUCUAAUUUAUGAUUAGAAAUUAAUUUUUUAGUUAAAAAGCUAAAAUAAAAUUAAAAGACGAGAAGACCCUAUAGAGUUUUAUAUUUUAUUUAAUUAAUAUUAAAUAUAUAAUUAAAUAUAUUAAUUAAAUAAAAUAUUGUGUUGGGGUGAUAGAAAAAUUUAAUAAACUUUUUUUAAAAUUAAACAUAAAUAAGUGGUUAAUUGAUCCAUUAAUAAUGAUUAAAAGAAAAAAUUACCUUAGGGAUAACAGCGUAAUAUUUUUUUUUAGUACGUAUAAAAAAAAAAGUUUGCGACCUCGAUGUUGGAUUAAGAUAAAAUUUAAAUGCAAAAGUUUAAAAUUUUGAUCUGUUCGAUCAUUAAAAUCUUACAUGAUCUGAGUUCAAACCGGUGUAAGCCAGGUUGGUUUCUAUCUUUAAUAAAAAAAAAUAUUUUAGUACGAAAGGAUCAAAUAUUUAAAAUAAUUUUAUAACAAUGAAUAUUAAUAAUAUAGUUUA